GCUAUAUCCGUCGGACAGAGACGAAGCAGAGCAGGCGAAGCAAGCGGAAAGCCACGACCGCCGCGAAAGCGAAAGGCAGAUGAGGCGGAGGAGAUGAGACGAGACCACUAGAAUAAAGCAAAGCCACGGGAGUCUAGAGAGAGACCGCACACAGAGAGAGGGCGCGUGCGUGGGGGAAGCGGAUGGCGAGGCACGGCGGCGAGAUCACGGCGGCUUUCCCAGGCGGCGGCGGCAUUGCCCAGGCGUCUACGGGCGCGACGACGCCGGCGGCGAGCCCAUACCAGGUGGCUGAAAUUGAAGAGCAAAUUUAUUCCCCAUUUGGCAACAUUGAGGUCCCAGAUAGUCGUGGUUGCUGCAGCGGUUUCACAGGCAGUGUGAUAAAAGUGUUGUUCAUCCUACAUCUACUUGCAUUCGUUGCCCUACAGUCUUCCUAGGCGUCCAGGCCUCUUCCCACCAGAACCCUGCCUACAAGCCCUUCUACAACUUCAUCCCUCUGGUAUCCUCUGUCAUAGUAUCCACAAUUGCUGCCUGCUUCUGGGUUAUCCUUGCUGUCACAAACCCUCCAAAAGCCAUCAAGACCUCUCUCUGGACUGCCCCUGUUUUUGCAGUCGCUUGCGAUGUAGUCAUACUCCUAGUUGCUAAUGGUACUGCACUUGGUAUUGGAGCACUUGUAGUUGCAUUCGCCAUUGCAGCAGGAUUGUACAGUUGUUGGGCCACUGGUCCACGUCUUCGGCAUGCUUCUGAGCUGCUUUCCGCUUCUGUCAUUGGAGCACACUUGCCGCCUACUACUUCUUGCCUUGUUAUCUUUGUCCUUCUUGCAACGUUUGGAUAUAUGACCUUCUGGACAGUUGCCAUCAGCUCCAUUGCCGCUGCAGAAGGGCACUUCAUGAACUACCAGAUGGCUUAUGUGGCAGCACUUCUGGUGAGCAUGGCAUGGACCAUGCAGAUAUUGCGCUACAUUGUCUAUGUAGCAGUGGCAAAACUAGCUCAUGGACAGCUCGUCUAUGGGAUCCGCAUGCCAGGUGGUGCUGUGGAAGUAUUCUGUGGCACGAUAUUCGGACCAGUCUUUGGGGACAUAUGCAUGGGUGCAAUGGCUGUCCCGGUGAACUCAGCUGUGCGGGGAUUGGCUCGAGCAAUGAAAACAGCAACCGGGGGCAAUGACGAGUUCAUUUUCUCAGGACAGGGCUGCUGCUUUGCUGUAUCAGAAAAAAUGCUGGGACGUGCUAACCGCUGGGGCUUUGUGCAUGUGGGGACGUGGGGGAAGGCAUUCUGUGUGGCUUCCCGGGAUGUCUGGUCUCUUUUUGUUCUCCGCGGGAUAGCAAAUCUUGUCGAUUCAGACCUCACUGGUUCUUUCUGCUUCCUUUCUUCCGUGACAACAGGCGCAUUGGCCUCACUGAUUGCUGGCUCAUGGGCACUAGCCGGCAUGUAUAAAGAUCAGAAGAAGUUAGCUUUGCCCGUAACCAUCUAUGCAUUCCUAAUCGGUUAUUACAUGUGCCGGAUGAUGAUUGCGUGGCCACAGGCGUGUGUAGCAGCUUACCAUGUCGCGUAUGCAGAGAACCCACAGAACCCUCAGCUGGGCACGCUGAUACCAGAGCAUCUGCACGAGCUCCAAGCACUAGCUGCAGACCGUGAUCGUCCUAAAGCUGUCGAUUCUUCUGAUGACAUUGAUGAUUCAUAGAUUCUCCCAUUCUUUCAGACUUUCAGUCAACUUAUUUCCUGAUCCCUGGAGCUUAGAGUCGCAGACACCACCUAGGCAGCAGAUAGUUGCUGAUUGUUCAGGGCAGCUGCAGAUGGUAGUCUAGUGUGUGCUUGACAUAGGAUUUCUUAUCAUACCUAUUUCUGUAGAUAUUACUGGGCAAGUGGAUAUAACUGAAAAAAGUGGUUAGAUGAUCUGAGACACUAGCACAGUAGCACAUAGAUGUAUAUACAGAGUUUAGUACAGUGAACAGACAUGCAGAAUGGAAUACAUUGUUUUAUUUACUAUUU